rnacentral:misc_RNA from 1 species
AAGACUAUAGACCUGCGGAGUACCUGCGGAAGGAUCAUUAAAAAAGGGUCUUUUGACCAUUUUUUUAAAACUCACUACCAAUUCUAGCCCAUUGGGUCAGAUGGAAGUGGGUUUUUUCAAACACCAAAAUUUUAAACUAUUCGUCUUAUGACGAAACCAAAAUUAAUAAAUAAAACUUUUAACAACGGAUCUCU